rnacentral:pre_miRNA from 9 species
UCUCGAUAGCGAAAAAGUUAACUCAAAUUCUUAUGCAUUUGGAACGUUUGGCUACGUUUGUCGCUAAGGGCGCUGUUCCAACUUCAUAUAAAUUUGAGUUAACUUUUACGCAAUCGG